rnacentral:rRNA from 1 species
UACGGAGGGUGCGAGCGUUAAUCGGAAUUACUGGGCGUAAAGCGUGCGCAGGCGGCUUUGUAAGUCAGAUGUGAAAUCCCCGGGCUUAACCUGGGAAUGGCAUUUGGGACUGCAAGGCUCGAGUGCGGCAGAGGAGACUGGAAUUCCUGGUGUAGCAGUGAAAUGCGUAGAUAUCAGGAGGAACACCGAUGGCGAAGGCAGGUCUCUGGGCUGACACUGACGCUCAUGCACGAAAGCGUGGGGAGCAAACAGG